rnacentral:rRNA from 1 species
UACGUAGGGGGCUAGCGUUGUCCGGAUUUAUUGGGCGUAAAGAGCGUGUAGGCGGCCAGGUAGGUCUGCUGUGAAAACUCGAGGCUCAACCUCGAGAUGUCGGCGGAAACCAUCUGGCUAGAGUCCGGAAGAGGGAAGUGGAAUUCCUGGUGUAGCAGUGAAAUGCGUAGAUAUCAGGAGGAACACCCGUGGCGAAGGCGGCUUCCUGGGGCCAUCCUGACACUGAGAAGCGAAAGCUAGGGGAGCGAACGGG